rnacentral:rRNA from 1 species
AAGGUUAAGCCUCACGGUUCAUUAGUACCGGUUAGCUCAACGCAUCGCUGCGCUUACACACCCGGCCUAUCAACGUCGUCGUCUUCAACGUUCCUUCAGGACCCUCAAGGAGUCAGGGAGAACUCAUCUCGGGGCAAGUUUCGUGCUUAGAUGCUUUCAGCACUUAUCUCUUCCGCAUUUAGCUACCGGGCAGUGCCAUUGGCAUGACAACCCGAACACCAGUGAUGCGUCCACUCCGGUCCUCUCGUACUAGGAGCAGCCCCCCUCAGUUCUCCAGCGCCCACGGCAGAUAGGGACCGAACUGUCUCACGACGUUCUAAACCCAGCUCGCGUACCACUUUAAAUGGCGAACAGCCAUACCCUUGGGACCUACUUCAGCCCCAGGAUGUGAUGAGCCGACAUCGAGGUGCCAAACACCGCCGUCGAUAUGAACUCUUGGGCGGUAUCAGCCUGUUAUCCCCGGAGUACCUUUUAUCCGUUGAGCGAUGGCCCUUCCAUUCAGAACCACCGGAUCACUAUGACCUGCUUUCGCACCUGCUCGCGCCGUCACGCUCGCAGUCAAGCUGGCUUAUGCCAUUGCACUAACCUCCUGAUGUCCGACCAGGAUUAGCCAACCUUCGUGCUCCUCCGUUACUCUUUAGGAGGAGACCGCCCCAGUCAAACUACCCACCAGACACUGUCCGCAACCCGGAUUACGGGUCAACGUUAGAACAUCAAACAUUAAAGGGUGGUAUUUCAAGGUCGGCUCCAUGCAGACUGGCGUCCACACUUCAAAGCCUCCCACCUAUCCUACACAUCAAGGCUCAAUGUUCAGUGUCAAGCUAUAGUAAAGGUUCACGGGGUCUUUCCGUCUUGCCGCGGGUACACUGCAUCUUCACAGCGAGUUCAAUUUCACUGAGUCUCGGGUGGAGACAGCCUGGCCAUCAUUACGCCAUUCGUGCAGGUCGGAACUUACCCGACAAGGAAUUUCGCUACCUUAGGACCGUUAUAGUUACGGCCGCCGUUUACCGGGGCUUCGAUCAAGAGCUUCGCUUGCGCUAACCCCAUCAAUUAACCUUCCGGCACCGGGCAGGCGUCACACCGUAUACGUCCACUUUCGUGUUUGCACAGUGCUGUGUUUUUAAUAAACAGUUGCAGCCAGCUGGUAUCUUCGACUGAUUUCAGCUCCAUCCGCGAGGGACUUCACCUACAUAUCAGCGUGCCUUCUCCCGAAGUUACGGCACCAUUUUGCCUAGUUCCUUCACCCGAGUUCUCUCAAGCGCCUUGGUAUUCUCUACCUGACCACCUGUGUCGGUUUGGGGUACGAUUUGAUGUUACCUGAUGCUUAGAGGCUUUUCCUGGAAGCAGGGCAUUUGUUGCUUCAGCACCGCAGUGCCUCGUCAUCACGCCUCAGCCUUGAUUUUCCGGAUUUGCCUGGAAAACCAGCCUACACGCUUAAACCGGGACAACCGUCGCCCGGCCAACAUAGCCUUCUCCGUCCCCCUUCGCAGUAACACCAAGUACAGGAAUAUUAACCUGUUUCCCAUCGACUACGCCUUUCGGCCUCGCCUUAGGGGUCGACUCACCCUGCCCCGAUUAACGUUGGACAGGAACCC